GGGCGGCUAGCUCAGUCAGGUUAGAGCGUCACAUUGACAUUGUGAAGGUCACAGGUUCAAUUCCUGUGUCGCCCA
rnacentral:tRNA from 1 species